UUUCCUGUACAUCUCUCUGACACACACACACCUUUUCUCUACACACUCUCUCACACACACAUUCUCUCUCUCUACACACACUUCCUGUCUGCUAAAUAACAGUGUCAGGAAUAUCAUCUAUCAUGGUGGGCUACUGUCCCAUCUGUGGGAAACCUGUCUACUUUGGUGAGAAGAAGAGGUCAUUGGGGAGGGACUACCACCCUCUGUGUCUGAAGUGUCAACUGUGUCAGAGACAGUUGACCCCGGGACAACAUGCUGAGGUAACAGGAGAAUGAUGUCAAACUGUCACAGCUCAGCCUCCUCUUCCUCCUCCUAGGAACCAGUCUAACAAACCAAAAACCAACCAAAAUACAACCUAAUGAGAACUAACGGGCUAUCAACAAGGAUCUAUGUUCAACAAACCUGAUAUUCAGCCAUCAAGCCAAUGACCAACCAACUAGACCCAACAUUCAGUCAACCAACGUUUGACCAACCAAGAAAUAACCAAUAGACAACCAAGCUGACAUUGAACAAACUACCAUCCAACCAACAGACAUCAGUGUCACUCUGAAAGAUCCCCUCUAUCAGUCAAUCAUAAAACACCAUGAUGUUGUGUUCAAUGGAGACAACGGUUGUUCUUCAAUAAAACAGAAGCUUCUACA